ensembl:snoRNA Gm23594 predicted gene, 23594
CAUGCUCCUGAAGGCAUUGCAUGUGUAGCUGCUGUGUCACAAGUGCAUCAGUAGGUGGCAGAGAGGAGAGAGGCUAUUUUUAUGCUUGGUGUUCUGACCUGUGAAUUAAUCUGAUUGAGUAGUAGCCUAACAUU